AUUGAACGCUGGCGGCAGGCCUAACACAUGCAAGUCGAACGGUAACAGGAAACAGCUUGCUGUUUCGCUGACGAGUGGCGGACGGGUGAGUAAUGUCUGGGAAACUGCCUGAUGGAGGGGGAUAACUACUGGAAACGGUAGCUAAUACCGCAUAACGUCGCAAGACCAAAGAGGGGGACCCUCGGGCCUCUUGCCAUCGGAUGUGCCCAGAUGGGAUUAGCUUGUUGGUGGGGUAACGGCUCACCAAGGCGACGAUCCCUAGCUGGUCUGAGAGGAUGACCAGCCACACUGGAACUGAGACACGGUCCAGACUCCUACGGGAGGCAGCAGUGGGGAAUAUUGCACAAUGGGCGCAAGCCUGAUGCAGCCAUGCCGCGUGUAUGAAGAAGGCCUUCGGGUUGUAAAGUACUUUCAGCGGGGAGGAAGGGAGUAAAGUUAAUACCUUUGCUCAUUGACGUUACCCGCAGAAGAAGCACCGGCUAACUCUGUG
rnacentral:rRNA from 1 species